GAUUAAGCCAUGCAUGUCUAAGUUCACACCCUUGUACGGUGAAACCGCGAAUGGCUCAUUAAAUCAGUCGAGGUUCCUUAGAUGAUCCAAAUCUACUUGGAUAACUGUGGUAAUUCUAGAGCUAAUACAUGCCAACCAGCUCCGACCCUUUCGGGGGAAAGAGCGCUUUUAUUAGUUCAAAACCAGUCGGGCGCCUCACGGCGUCCGUCCUUUGGUGACUCUGGAUAACUUUGUGCCGAUCGCAUGGCCACGAGCCGGCGACGCAUCUUUCAAAUGUCUGCCCUAUCAAAUGACGAUGGUACGUGAUCUGCCUACCAUGUUAGCAACGGGUAGCGGGGAAUCAGGGUUCGAUUCCGGAGAGGGAGCAUGAGAAACGGCUACCACAUCCAAGGAAGGCAGCAGGCGCGCAACUUACCCACUCCUGGCACGGGGAGGUAGUGACGAAAAAUAACAAUACGGAACUCUUUUGAGGCUCCGUAAUUGGAAUGAGUACACUUUAAAGCCUUUAACGAGGAUCUAUUGGAGGGCAAGUCUGGUGCCAGCAGCCGCGGUAAUUCCAGCUCCAAUAGCGUAUACUAAAGUUGUUGCGAUUAAAAAGCUCGUAGUUGGAUCUCAGGCAUGGGCGCACGGUCCGCCUCGCGGCGGUCACUGUGUGGUGAGUUUGACUUUUCCCAUCCUACGCUUCCCGGUUGUUAGCCCAUGGUGCUCUUGAUUGAGCGUUUUGGGUGGCCGGAACGUUUACUUUGAAGAAAUUAGAGUGUUCAAAGCAGGCAGGUCGCCUGAAUAAUGGUGCAUGGAAUAAUGGAAUAGGACCUCGGUUCUAUUUUGCUGGUUUUCGGAACACGAGGUAAUGAUUAAGAGGGACAGACGGGGGCAUCCGUAUUGCGGUGUUAGAGGUGAAAUUCUUGGAUCAUCGCAAGACGAACAACUGCGAAAGCAUUUGCCAAGCAUGUUUUCAUUAGUCAA
rnacentral:rRNA from 1 species